rnacentral:lncRNA from 1 species
CUUUCGGGUAGGGGUAAGGCUCGUCUACAUAUUACCCUCCCCAGACCCCACCUGAUGGGAGUAUACUGGGUAGUUGUUGUUGUUGUUGUUGGUUUGUUCUCCUUCUCAUUUCAACCAACAUUUUAGCAAUCUUAGUUUUAUUUUUGUUGUUUGUCUGGAACGUGUAUGUUAGAGACUCUGUUAUAAAUUUUUGAUGAUUUUGAACGAUCCA